rnacentral:misc_RNA from 1 species
AAUCCUCAACCCCUUCUCUGUUUCUUCGCGAUCAGGGAAAAGGGCCUUGGACUUUGGAGGUUACUGCUGGCACCUCUCGAGGCCAGCUCCUCUUAAACGACUUAGCAGGGUCCCUUUUGCCGAUCCUCGAUGUGAUAAGGUUCUCCUACAUCCAGGGUUUUUGGCUUUAGGCCCGCUUCUAAUCGUCUCGUCGAGACAGACCUAACCGUACC